GACGAACGCUGGCGGCGUGCUUAACACAUGCAAGUCGAACGGAAAGGCCCUGCUUUUGUGGGGUGCUCGAGUGGCGAACGGGUGAGUAACACGUGAGUAACCUGCCCUUGACUUUGGGAUAACUUCAGGAAACUGGGGCUAAUACCGGAUAGGAGCUCCUGCUGCGUGGUGGGGGUUGGAAAGUUUCGGCGGUUGGGGAUGGACUCGCGGCUUAUCAGCUUGUUGGUGGGGUAGUGGCUUACCAAGGCUUUGACGGGUAGCCGGCCUGAGAGGGUGACCGGCCACAUUGGGACUGCGAUACGGCCCAGACUCCUACGGGAGGCAGCAGUGGGGAAUAUUGCACAAUGGGCGGAAGCCUGAUGCAGCAACGCCGCGUGCGGGAUGACGGCCUUCGGGUUGUAAACCGCUUUCGCCUGUGACGAAGCGUGAGUGACGGUAAUGGGUAAAGAAGCACCGGCUAACUACGUG
rnacentral:rRNA from 1 species